rnacentral:lncRNA from 1 species
ACUAGACUCCAUCCAAGUUUCUAUAGUGGUCAACCACCUUUCGAAUUUCAUCCGAGCUUCUACAGUAAGUGAAUUCUGUCCGAACUUCUAUUGCAAGCGAACUUCAUCCGAGUUUCUACAGUAAGUGGACUUCAUCCGAGCUUCUACAAUAAGUGGUCUCCAUCCAGGCUUCCAAUGCAAUCGAUCUCCAUCCGAGCUUCCACAGUAAGUGGCCUCC